GAUGAAGAACGUAGCGAAAUGCGAUACUUGGUGUGAAUUGCAGAAUCCCGUGAAUCAUCGAGUCUUUGAACGCAAGUUGCGCCUCAAGCCAUUAGGUUGAGGGCACGUCUGCCUGGGCGUCACAUAUCGUUGCCUGAUGCCAGUUUCCUCGUGAUGGGUGACUGUGCAGGGCGAAUGAUGGCUUCCCGUGAGCAUUGUUGCCUCAUGGUUGGUUGAAAAUUGAGUCCUUGGUAGGGAGCGCCGUGAUAGAUGGUGGUUGAGUGACGAACGAGACCCAAUCAUGUGAGACCCCUACCGAAUUUGGCCUUCAUGACCCACAUGCGUCUUUGGAACGCUCAUGACGAGACCUCAGGUCAGGCGGGGCUACCCGCUGAGUUUAAGCAUAUCAAUAAGCGGAGGA
rnacentral:misc_RNA from 1 species